AACGAAGAAGACAAUGACGUUAAUGAGGCCGAUGAACGUAGCCGUCGUGAAUUCUACUGUGACGUGACAUUGUCAUUUCGGCUAAGAUCGUUCGUUAACGUUCAAAAUCGGAACCAAGGACCACCGUCAUUGAGAAUGCGGUUUAAUCAGUCUUCUCACAGUGUGCUAUAGUUAAACCAGUGCAUAGUCUAGUUAACAGUGACGUAAAUGGGGGGUUGACAACCAGUCCCAGUUUACCGACUGUCGAUUAGGACUAUCUGUACUAGACACGUGAGUGGAUACGUAUACUGAAAUAGUAAAGAUGGCUAAUGAGAUGUCAAUGUCGUAUCUUCUCAGUUCAUCGAUUUGUCUCAGUUCAACGAUAAAUCAAUACUGUCUGUGUAGACGCACAAAUGUCGAUGGCAUUUACCCAACAUCCUUGACGCGAGUCAGACAUGAACUAUAGUUAGGGAAACUAUCGAUUGACACCCCGCACAAACAUAUCCGAUAAAGUUUUACCUAUGAGAGGCAUCGAUUGACUAGAACGACACAAGCGCCAGCACACUCUGGUGGAUGUGCGACGAACUCGAAUGAACAUGUGAACCACGUAGUCUACGAGGAACGUAUUGUCGCUGUGCUAAAGGGAAAUAAACCUGUGCUGCCAUCUAACGGUACUAGUAGGUACCUGCAAUACCAUUAGAUCGUCCGUAUUCAAUGAGGAGGACUGGACCAUAAAAGAUCACUCUAUGGAUCUCCAUGGCUCAAGCACACACUUCCUCGGGAAGUUAUCCACGAAUUACGUGGAUUUUCUGUUGUACCACUCGACGUUUCAGUUCUUACCAACACUCGGAAAUGAAAAGGAUCAAAGGGUAGAAUGAAUGUUGGGAAGGACCAAGGGUUAAUCUUUUUUUAUUUUUCCGUGCUUUCAGGUAAUUCGACGAACCGUGAAAUAUUUCCAUUCAAUAUAAAAGAAUUUCGUGCGGAUGAAUUCUUUGCAUUAUUACGUACUAUCCUUUUUUUACAUUUAUUUUAUGGGGUUCUGCGACCUCCGUGGCCAAAUCUCUAAUCAAUUCUUAUUAACGACCAUAUUCAUGAAGACACACGUGAACGAAAAUAAAC